rnacentral:rRNA from 1 species
GUGCCAGCCGCCGCGGUAAUACGUAGGGUGCGAGCGUUAAUCGGAAUCACUGGGCGUAAAGCGUGCGUAGGCGGUCUGUUAAGUCAGAUGUGAAAUCCCUGGGCUUAACCUAGGAACUGCAUUUGAAACUGGCAAGCUAGAGUCUCGUAGAGGGGGGUAGAAUUCCAGGUGUAGCGGUGAAAUGCGUAGAAAUCUGAAGGAAUACCGGUGGCGAAGGCGGCCCCCUGGACGAAGACUGACGCUCAGGUACGAAAGCGUGGGGAGCAAACAGGAUUAGAUACCCGUGUAGUCC